rnacentral:rRNA from 1 species
GUGGGGAAUAUUGCACAAUGGGCGCAAGCCUGAUGCAGCAACGCCGCGUGAGGGAUGACGGCCUUCGGGUUGUAAACCUCUUUUAGUAGGGAAGAAGCGUAAGUGACGGUACCUGCAGAAAAAGCACCGGCUAACUACGUGCCAGCAGCCGCGGUAAUACGUAGGGUGCAAGCGUUGUCCGGAAUUAUUGGGCGUAAAGAGCUCGUAGGCGGCUUGUCGCUUCUGCCGGGAAAACCCAGGGCUCAACUCUGGGCUUGCGGUGGGUACGGGCAGGCUAGAGUGCGGUAGGGGAGAGUGGAAUUCCUGGUGUAGCGGUGGAAUGCGCAGAUAUCAGGGGGAACACCGAUGGCGAAGGCAGAUCUCUGGGCCGUAACUGACGCUGAGGAGCGAAAGCAUGGGGAGCGAACAGGAUUAGAUACCCCAGUAGUCC